rnacentral:sRNA from 1 species
GUGGGGGAGUUAGGUUAAGACUUUCCGUUUCCUGCACACGAGCAAACACCAGAAACUUUCGCCCUCCACGGAGUCCCACACUGGUGGGCCCACGCCCGAAGGCCAAUUACUUUAAUUCGCUGGCAGGCACCCCAGAUGUUUAACUUGUUUUGUUGACCAGAUAGAGUCGAACCAAGGAUCUUGACGGCUUUGUAUUUACUUUAAUUUUCCUCUUUUUUAUGAUUGGUUAUUGGAAGAAAUUGAGACUGGCUUUUCUCACUCGGGUAACGUAUUUUGUCGGGGAAGUAAAAGAGAAAAGGAAAAAACCAAAAGCUGGGACAACUGCACGAGUAGUUAUCUGUAUGUAAACAUUGGAGCAUUCUGUUGAGAAUUUGGCACGAACUAAUAAAGAAUUAAGCACUAUCUAAGAUUAUUUUGCUUACAGUAGAGGCGAAAACAAUACAGGGAAGAAAGCGCAUGAGAACGUAGUGGCCCUUGUCUUGUUAUUGUUAUCUUGACCUCUGUCGAGUUCUAAUUUUUGCUGAGCUGUCCGGAAAUAUCAAAUUUCAGGGCAGGUUCUACUGUCAACGAAAAAUUUCGGCAGGCUUCAACCCUCCAUCUCAGGAAUGAGAAGAGACAACGAGGAAAAGAAAACGAAAGGAAGGAAAUGAUGAGGGGAAGGAAAAACGAAAGGAAGUUGACCGGCCAUUGUUAAUCAUUUUCAUCCAUCUUAAACGGCACGAUUUGCAUGUCAAAUAUCCAUUUCAGUCUGUACUUAAGCCAUAUGGGUGCAAACACAGUCCCGGAGAGAAUACCUCAGCUGACUGACAGGGAGAGAGGCGAAGCCAAGGGCAGGCAUUUAAACCCCUAGCCUUAGAAAUCCGCUUUUAAUGUCGGUCGACGCAGUCGAGCUGGCACUGUUAGAGCGGACGGAUUUUUGUGGCAGGUGCGAGGCCAAGAUUCCAUUUUCAUCUGAUGGGAUCUGAGGAGAGGAGAGCGGGGUCGGUGUUGUGGAAUUCAUUCCUUGGGGUCGGGCAGUGGGCGUUUGCUCAUGCGGUACGAGGACAAGAAAUUUCUGAGUUUCGGUGUGGGAAUACAUGAUGAGCGGAGAUGUGUGCUUAUCUGAGAAGGGAAGGAUUAAAGCAAGCUGUGAUUUUCUUGGGGCUUUUUGGUGGGUAUUUUAACAAGCAAGGGAGACAGCUGGUAUCGAGAUUUCUGUGGUAUGGAUAGUAUGAGAGAAGACGAUCGAAAGCCUGUUGGAAGACACUGUAAAGUUUAACAAAGAGCGUAGUCUUGAGGGGGGAAGUUGGAUUUUCACGGGAACAAGUUGGUAGAACACAUUGGACUUGAAAAACGAGUUCAAGGGAGGUUUUCUCCUCGAGGGAGAGGGCUCUUUAUAUAGUUAGGGACCCUGGAUUCAAUUGAAAGUUUCCAUGUCCGGCGGGAUGUCAGAUGAUCAGGACCCUCAAAGCGGGGCCUUCGUUUUCUCGAAAAGUAAACGGGG